UCUCUUACAAGCCUUGCCUCCCAACUAACCCAAUAAAUAAAUGGGCAGCCACCCACCUUAGCCAAUCACAAAGGAGGCAGCCAACUCACUCUCCCUCUAUAAAAACUCCUUGGCCGGCCACCACCUCCACCUUUGGCUUCAUUUUUCACUCCCCACUCACUCCUCCACAAUAUCUACACCCUCAUAACUCUCUCCUACCUCUCCCCCACGAAAAUGCUGCUCCUCCUAAGCUCCAUGGCCGGCCAUGGCCAUGGGAAGCCUCCAAGAUGAAGCUCUCCCCCUCCCUCAAGCUCCUCCUCCCCAUGAGAGCAUUCCUCUCACUCUCUUCCCCCCCAACCCUAGCUGGUUUCCUCUCCUCUUUUUCUUCCUCCAUUGCUAAGAUUGGAUCUUGAUGCAGGUGCAUGUUGGUCAAAGCAUGGAGAAGGUUGAGCUAUCCUCAGAUCUGAAGUUCUUGAGCAAAAUUCAAAUUGAGUGAUUCAAAGUUCCACAGAUAGGUAUUGAAAAGAUCUACAACUUGGCGUUGGUCUCAUCCUCAAAGUAGUUAAGGAUUUUGCACGAUUAAGAUCUGAUCAGAUCUGACUUUGUCGAAUUAAACCAGGAGCUUGGAAACGAAUUUUUGAAUGAAACAAAUUGGGGGGUACUUAGCUUGUGCCAUGGUGAUACCGAGAGAGGCAAUUGCUAAGUUGUGAUAUUCUCAUACCUUUACUAGUUGCGAACAAUUCGAAGAAGAAGAAAAAGUGGUUCGGACGAGGAUUUUUUUUAAUAUUGUUGGAAUUCUUAUCUGAUGAAGUUGAAGAAGUCCAGGGACAAAUAAGCCAAGGCAAGCCAUCUUUUGAUCUCUUGCUAUUUAUCCUUCUUAUUGUGCUCAUUGCUCCAUUAUACACUUGGUUCCUUGUAUCAUAUGUGAUUUUUGGUCCUCUACUCUAUGCAUGCUUAUUCCCAAAGUAUGUUGAACCCCUUGUUGAUGCUUUGCAUACUUGCUCCCAAGUAUGUGAACCCCCUUGUUGAUGUUAUGCAUGCUUACCCUAAGCAUGUAUGCCCCCUUGACCAUAUCCAUGUUGUCAUCUUCUUAGUGGUAUGAUGAUUAACAUCAUGACCCCUGCUUGAAUCAUCUUAAUUAUGUUGUCCCUAUACAUGCUUAUCCUAAGUAUGUAUGAUCCCCUUAACACCUCAAUUAUCAUCCCCUUAGUGGUAUGAUGGCUAGCAUCAUGUCAUUGUGACUCUUAGUUCCUUCAUAAAACUAUAGGUUGGGAACCCCCUUGGAAAAAUACCUUGUUGAAAAUAAUUUUUGAAAACCUUGGGUGAGUUGGACUUACCCAAGUGUGUGUUUAUGAAAGGAAAGGAUCUUGGCAAAGAUGGUUGGAAAGAAAAUCUUGUUUUUGAAAACUUUGGCGUCUAAGUAUUCACCCGUGACAAUUAACCCGCGCAACCACAUUACCCUGGAGUGGGACGGGGCUUAGCUCGUAGUUUGUUCUUCUUAACAUGGGACACCGCACAACUAUAUAAGGGUAAGGUUACCCCUGAAUCCGGAUUGUCGUUGGUGGAGACAAUAGUAUAACGGGAGGCCUUCGGGGCUGACCCGUCCGGAAGACACUAUGGGUCUCCUGGCUUAGCGGUGGAGCCACGCUCAAAGUGAGGUGAGCUGCCACGGUGCCGGUGAGGUACAUACUCCAUAGGGUAGGAUCCCGUGCUAAGACGAAUAGGCGAAAGGCUAUGUCCGAGUUUUUGUCAUGGCAUAGUUGGUAUGCAGGGAUGAUACCCACAUGAUAAACUCGCGGAUCUUGUGGGGAAAGUGUGCAAACUCUGCAGAGUCAAAUCUAUUCGAAUAGCCGCGUCCGCGGUCAUGGACGGUUGGAAUGGCUGUUGCUUAGCCUGAUGAGUUUUUGGUUUACAAAAAUUGUUUGGAAAAUGAAAGAAAGGAACUUGUUUUCGGAGUACCGGAAGGGUACGGGAAUGGUUUGGUUGAUCAUAUGGAGAUGGUCGGAAAGGAAAAAAAAUUGGGUUACCCCCUCCCUAGUGUUUUAUGUUGUAGAACUCUUUUGAAGUAUCUUCUUAAAUAGAGAUAUAGAGAUGUCUUAGAUAAAUUCUUGAAGUGUCUCCUUCAAUCGAGAAGUUGGGAUGCUAUCUCCACCAAAAACAUCUCUUCUCUUCUACAUGCUAUAUCAACAAGAGAAACUAUUCUUCCUCUCUUGUCUUCUUUAGUUAGAAUUGUUAUCACCUUCUUGAUGGUUUGCGAGUACAAUUCAAAUGUACUCACGGCUUUGUCCCUGGCUAUUUACUUGGCCAGACUUGAAGGAAUUCGACAACUGAAGAAGGACUUGGACGACGUCUAUGCGAGCUAGGAACGUCUUCCCAGUCAGUUGCCUGUAGGGUUUAUGGCAGAUGACUUGGGCUCCUAGCUGUUGAAGUGAAGAUGCUACUCUGAUGUUUAGUUAGGCCCCUCGAGGCUAUUAUGUAAGUAAUGGUCAUGAGACCUUAUUGUAAUUUUCUUAUUCCGCUUUGUAAUGGAUGGUGUAAUUUGAUAUCAGUUCGGUUAUGUGUUCACGGCGCACUGAUCAUGGGAUCGUGGACUGUAUACAUAACAGGGUAUUUCGGACAGUUAGUCCGGGUCCCCACACAAGCACUAAAGAGGAAAUUUACUUUGAUGAUACU